rnacentral:rRNA from 1 species
GUGCCAGCAGCCGCGGUAAUACGUAGGUGGCAAGCGUUAUCCGGAAUUAUUGGGCGUAAAGCGCGCGUAGGCGGUUUUUUAAGUCUGAUGUGAAAGCCCACGGCUCAACCGUGGAGGGUCAUUGGAAACUGGAAAACUUGAGUGCAGAAGAGGAAAGUGGAAUUCCAUGUGUAGCGGUGAAAUGCGCAGAGAUAUGGAGGAACACCAGUGGCGAAGGCGACUUUCUGGUCUGUAACUGACGCUGAUGUGCGAAAGCGUGGGGAUCAAACAGG